CUCUCUCUCUCUCUCUCUCUCUCUCUCUCUCUCUCUCCUUUGAGGCCUGUGUGAUAUCUAGAUCUUUAGACUAGACUCUGUUUAGCUGUUGAGUACAUUUGUGAGAUAGUGGUCCUUGGUUUAGCUGUUGAGUACAUUUGUGAGAUAGGGGUACUUGGUUUAGCUGUCAAGUCAUUUGUGAGAUAGUAGUGGUACUUGUUGCAGAAGUAGUAAGGUGUAUUUCUUAUGUGGAAUUGCAUUUACCUUUUGAUAAUAUGGUAACUAUGAUAUUAUGAAGUAAUGGAUGGUAAUCAAUCAAUGGUUGUGUUUUAAUUUGAUGUUUUGACUAUGUAAGGGCACUGAACUGUAUUUCGAGAUUCAUUCCGACUAUUAGAGCAAAAUUGGAGAAAAAGUUGGUGGUGAUUAAAUUCUAGUGGAAUUAGGAGGUAAGUUAGGUGAUUUUUUGGCUAAAUUUUGGUGUAUAUUUUUAUUUUUAUUUUAAAACUAUUUAUUGCCAUGUUUUAGCCAAAUUAUGGGGUCAUCAUUGAGCCAUUUCAGCAGGAAACUUUAUCCCUUCUUUUAGGUUGAAUUCAGUUGAAGUUUGAAGUCAAUUUUUUUAAGCUGAAUUUGUGGCAGUUCUAUAGCCAUUUGAACUCCCUUGAGCAAUUGUUGGGUUGAGUUUAGUUAAAACUCUCACACCAAUUUCUUAGCUGUGUCGAAUUUCUUUUAGUCAUUUUGAGGCAAUUUCAGAGUAAGAACUUUUGAUAUUUCUUUAUCUGCCUUUGAGAAACAUUGUUAGGUCAUUCUAGUGUCCAAAUUGGGAAAUUAUUCUUUUGCUAUUUGGAAACCAAAUUUGGAGAAAAGGUCUUUUAUUUUCUAACCUGAAUUUGUGAUUUACUUUUGGCUUUUUUCUAGAACCAAAAUUGGAGACAUCUUAUGGGAUAGCAAUUCGUUCGCCACAUUUGUGGGAAUUUUGAAGCAGUUCAAGUGCUAAUCUCGGAGGGAGCUUGCGAUCUUCUCUCAUCAGGCUUAAAAUCAUAUUAAGGUUAUUUCUAUGGGUCGCAAUGGAUCUGACCAGACCCGUGACCAAAACCGGGUUCUGAUGGGUAGACCCGACCUCGGGUUCGGGUUCAAAACCUGGGCCCGAAUACUAUUUGGGUUUGGGGCCAGGUCAGACCCUUUGCCCUCCCUAGUUAUUUCUUGAAAUGUACUUUCUGAUCUGUAUGAUCUUAGAAGUACUGGUUGGUAAUAACAGUAGUGGACAGUGGGAACCCCAACCUUGUAACAUGUCGCUAAGCUUGAUGGCAUGGUGACACCAAUUAGUACCUCUCCGGCAGAUAAGGUCUGACAUAGCAGAAGCUGGGGUCUGACAGGCCCGCAUAUUGGCUUUGUGCUAAUGACCUUAGAGCUACUGUCAAAGUUGAGCUUUAGAGUGCUUGCCUUCCCUUUGGGGAGAUUCCUUUAGAGUGGGGCGCAAAGUCUAGGAAUGAGCACUCACUGAAGUCUAUUCUUCGAUUUAGCCGUAGAUAUAAUUAUUACUUUGAGCUCACCUCUCAUCAGAUAGGAGUUUGAAGGCAAAUCCCAUGCGCCUUAUUUUUUUUCUGUAGUGUGAGGUUAUUGAUGGUGGCUGGUUUUGUAAUUUACCUUUUUCAGUAGCAGGGUUGACAUUCACUGGAUGAGAAGAGAACUGAAAGUGGUGGACACUACCCACUGUGAAUCAGAUUUUCGGAGAAGGUGGUCCUCGGUGUUUGACACAACACAUGAUGAGUGCCUUGUCUAAGAUUGCGAGUGAGGAGUUUUAUGUGGUUCUGGUAUGGGUAGUCCAUCCUGAAUGUGCUGAUGUUUUUGAGAGCCUUGUUCGAAAAUGUUUUUUACAGAAAACAUACCAUCAGUGUAUGGCCUCUUUAAGUGAUAGCAUCUUCCCUCUUGGGGUGAUGAUAGAAGUUUGAAAAGGUGCUUCUGUAACUGGAGGAAAGCUUCGAUCUCUAUGCCUCUAACUAUGCAGCCCUAUUGCCCCGUUGAUGCGGAAUCCAGUCCCUGAUACGAGGUCGUGCAUUGUGGCUAUAUGGUGCAAGGCGAUGGCAAAUGGCUCUGAGAAUUUUGAAGGGAUGAUCACCAAUCCACUUGUUUAUCCAGAAUCAGGUGUGCCUUCCAUUGCCCACCAUAGAUCUUGGGCUGUUGAUGAAGAUGCAGCUACACUGAAACUGAUAUCCAAUCUACUUUUGUAUCUAGAAUAUGUAGCAGCAUAUUGUUAAAAGGAAAAUUUUCCAUGCGUUGGGGCGGCGUACAUCUGCAUUUGCAUUCCCCGAGGCAUAAAGCAAUCAUCUUAGGGAUGGACGCUAAGUGGUGGUCCCUUUGGAAAAGGAGAAAAAUCAAUGGCCUAAAUUUGUUUCAAAUAAUUAUCUUUUUUAAAUUAUUUAUUUUACA